CCUGGGUGGCUUUGUUUCUCUCAUGGA
rnacentral:misc_RNA from 1 species